UCGGUGUCGAGCACCCCUAUUCACGUGACAAUGAAGCAUUUUUUUUUGGACUGACGCAAUUACUCCUGUCUGCAUGAGCAAAGUGCAUCAUUUUGCAAGAACAGCCACGAUGAACUGGUUUUUCCAACCUUCCUCGCUUCCACAAUCUCUGUGCACGUUUCUGGGUCGAAGUUGGAGGCAACAAAUGGUCAAGAUUUUGUCAUACCCUUCGGAACUGUUAAACUGGAGAGAGUAGAUGAAGUGAAAGUAAUUUUUGAAGGAAAAGACCUGAAAAAAUCUUUAAUUGCAAGAUACUGUUCCCAUGUUUACACUGUUCCCAGCUGUACACCCAAGAAAACGGAUGGAGUCUCGCUGCAAGUUGAAGAAAGAAAUGUGUCCUUGAUUCUUCAAGAUGUCAACAUCUCCAGAUCAGGACUCUAUAAAGCACAGGCCUUCUUUGGAAAGCAAGUGCGUGAGGUCAUUGCCACACUUGUGGUCAACAAACCACUAUUGUCCAAUAGAGCACCACCACACACCUCCACCUCCAUCUCCACCUCAUCUGAACUUCAAGGGUUAAUAAGAGCUGCAGCCAACAUCAUCACCAUCAUCAUCACCAUCAUUUUUUGCUUCUUCUGACCUUUUAAUAUCAGGGUUCAUACAGUCAUGAAAAACCUGGAAAAGUCAUGGAAUUUUAAAAUAGCAAUUUCCUUUUAAAAUAGAUUUCCUUUUGCAGCAUUGAGCAUUGUAACCAAUCACACAUGUUUCUGUUGAGCGUGAUGGCCAAUCAGAGGCAUUUAGGUUAGUCAUCGCUGAAACUAAAAGUGUUGUUCAGUGCGCAUGCUCUCUGACUGAAACUUGUGAAUUCUCCAAUCAUAAUUAACAAAGUGCAGGUUCAAUAUAACAGAUUCAUGUCGCAGUGUCGUCACCUUCCGUGAUUUUAACAGGGGUGUUUGUGAGAGCGUUAAACUCGCGCUAGAACCAAGUACAGCUUCACGAGUGGUCACGUCCUGUGCUCCCUUUCUGUAUACAGUUUAUUCCAGGUAAUAUAAUUUAUUCAUCAGUAUGAUAAGAUAAUGUGAAUUCUUUAUUGUCUAAUGUGUAAAAAGCAUUAAAAUUAUUCAUAAACAGUUCUAAGAUUGUUUUAUCUUUUUAGCCAGAAUAUGACAUGCAGUUUCCCCAAACACAAAAACAUUUUAUGUAUCUAUUAAUAGAGUACCUCACGGAUGACAUGUUUUUGUAGGCAAAACCUGGAAGCGAGUUGCAUUUUAGGACUUAGGCUCCGAAGUCAAUGGGUUUUUUGAAUGGGUUUUUGCUAAAUCGCCUGAAAUAAGGUCUGUGGUUAACAAAGCCUCUAAAUAUUUUCACUUUUUGAUCUAUGACAUAAAACACACCAGUUAUAACCCGCUUGUUAUUUUUUUUUAAACCUUUAUUGUGUCUUAAAAACGGCGGUUGCUAACAAAUUGCUAAAAGGGACUACUUCCUUUGGCGGGGACUUUAGACGUCAUCAUGACAAACAGGACAUUUGGACAGCAUGAAAAAGUGAAUAAGUAUUCAUACAUAAUCAGCGAGCAUGUUUUUAAAUAAAGUUGUUUUUUAAAUAAAGUUUGAGGAAGCUUGGUGGUGGUGAUGUUGAUCCGCGACUAUGGUGUGCUGUAGUUCGUUUAUAGCCUACUGUUAGCUUUUUAUAUCUGACCACUUUAUUUAUGCUUCAAAAUGUAUAAAUGUUGUGUUAACUUGUAAAGAUUAUCUUGAUAGACAGAACGUGUAAGUGUCAUAACACUUUGUUAAACACAGAGCUUAUUUUUUGCGAUUUUCCAAAAGUCUAUGGGAAAAAUGCAUAGGCGUGCACUGCUAACUUUCGGGUUGGCCUACAAAAACACGUCAUCCCUGAGGUACUCUAUAAACAUUAAUAAUCAUUAUUACAAUAUAAAGAAUGUUAAUUGACAAUAAUGACUCUGUAAAGAGUUCCUGUUAAUUUUAUAAUUUAUGAAUAACAUUAAACAGUUUAAAUCUUCAGUUCCAGUGUACAGAUGGCUUUUGUUAAUGAUAACAUUUUAUUGGUAACAGUCUAUAUAGGAUUCAGAUUGAUUUAAGUAAUUGGUUAAAUUUAAGUAUUUUUACAUAAACAACAACACACAGGUAAUCAUAAAAAUUGCACUUCUGAAGGUAAAAAAUAAAAUGCCCCUGGAAAUCAACUGCAAGGUGUCCUUAAUGGAAAAGUUAGUUUCUGACCCUGGCAUGGGGUGACGUCUGGCAGUUGCAGUUUGUAUAGGUGUAGGAAUUUAGCAAAUAAGCUUGACUGUUUUAUUAAUGAUAUCCAAGUUAUUUUAAAUAAGUUAUUGUUCUAGUUGUCUUCAGUCAGAAGUGAGCAAAACUGUGAUCUACGUGAAACAGAUCUUAAUAAUAGGAUAAAAGCGUUUUGGUCCCUGUUCUGUGCAGCAUUUUAAAUGGUGCUGAAUGUGUUCAUUUUGAUUGAUUGUCUACAAAAAACAGUGUCACUUGGACCAAAAAAGUAAAAAGAAAUGGAGUAAAGAAGGAAAUGAAACAUUUAACCAUCAUUAAUUCAUCUUUUGUCACCAUUAAUUUUAUUCAGCUCUGAGUGAAAAGUUAAUGAAUGAGGCAAUAUUGUAGUUCUGAAUAUAUAUCAGAAUAAUUUAUCUGAAUAUAUUAAUUAUUAGCUUUUUUGAAUGUUUAAAAUAAUGUCAAAGAUUGUGGUUUAAAAGUAUAAACCUGUUCCUGUUCCCUCUAAAGCUCUUUUUCUUUCUGAUCAAAACUUUUCUCACCUGAGCAAAAGACCUGUACCGCAUACACACACACACACACAAAUGCAGCCAUGUAACUUUAAUGUGCUAUUUCUAUAUGAUUUGACCCUUAAUGUAACUUAGUGAUAAUAAAUCAUAUUUUUGAAAACAAGCAGUUAAUUCAGACGUCACUGUUCUGUGUCCAUCAUCCGUCAUUUCCAACACUUAAUCAAGUCACUCCUCUUUAAAGCAUGAUGAUGUUUUAUUUCACGUCUUUGUGUUUGCUUUGCCUCUUGUGUCGAGCUGUUUGGCUCCAGUGUUGCCAACUAUUUUAAACGGAAAGUAGCUAAAGUCUGCUCAAAGUGUCACUAAAUUGUCAGCACUGUUUAGCUCACAUCAUUCACUUUCUGUGAAACCUGUAAACUGCAUUCACCGGUUCUAACUCUAUAGUUGUUGACCAGAACACUGCAAUUAUUUCUCAUUUACUAGAUUAUCUAAUGUCUUGCUUCUCCACACAUUUUGCAUCUGUCCUCUGUGUGCCAUUUUAUUUUUUUUCUGCACAGCCGAGACAUCAGAAAUGACGCGUAUCAGACUGAACAUUGCUGAAAUGUUUAAAUUAAGCUUUGACUUCAGCACCUUUUUAUUUGAUUUGCUGGACGUCUUGUAAUUGUGACUGUAAUUGUCACUAAUCUCAGUUUUCUGUUGUUUUCU